rnacentral:rRNA from 1 species
UACGUAGGGAGCAAGCGUUGUUCGGAUUUACUGGGCGUAAAGGGCGCGUAGGCGGCGCGGUAAGUCACUUGUGAAAUCUCUGAGCUUAACUCAGAACGGCCAAGUGAUACUGCAGUGCUAGAGUGCAGAAGGGGCAAUCGGAAUUCUUGGUGUAGCGGUGAAAUGCGUAGAUAUCAAGAGGAACACCUGAGGUGAAGACGGGUUGCUGGGCUGACACUGACGCUGAGGCGCGAGAGCGUGGGGGAGCGAACAGG